AUGGAGGGGCAGCCAUUGGAGGUUUUGGAAGACUGGGAAGGCCUGGACUGCCUGGUUGCUUUUUAAAGAAGAAUCUGACAGGAGAGUGAAGUAUGGACUGGAUAAAGGAGAGACCCAAGGCAAGUAGGUCAACGAGGAGGCAGAUGCAGCAGCCCUGGCAACUCUUUUGUAUUGUGCUUCCCGAGGACUUAGUCCAAGGCUUUGCAUACGAAGCCUGCAAGUCAAAGUGAGAUGUCCUCUUCUUUCCUCCACCUCACUGGACACCUGAAUGGAGUCAUCAACCCUCCACAGUCAAGAACAGAAGGCACUGGGGAGUUUGGCCUCUCCUUCCCUCUGAAGAGGAUGCGCACCCUCCAGAGGGACCCCCGGCGUAUGGAAGACAGGGAAGUACACCCAGGCCUGAAGCACAGCAGCAAGCUGUCCUCUGCUGCCCAAACUAAAACAGUGGGUUGUCUGUAAGUCCACUCUUCCCUGCCCCUCUUGAUCCUCCCUCUCCUUUCAUAAUCUUCCUUUCCCCCUCUUCAGCCCAGCCUCCCUGUCUUCCCCCACCCCUAAGUCUGAGAUGAUGUUCUCUUACCAUCCCACAGGCCUUGUUUGCAACAGAGGCAAAUAUGGACACCUCAUCAGUUUUUAUUUCAGUCACACAGAAGCAUGAAAAACAUUGGUCCAUAUUCAGAACAAAUAUAGGAAUCAACCAUCUAGUAGAAUUAAAUUCAUAACAGCAGUCCUAAAGCAUUGCCCUAUUUUUAGCUUUAGAUACUUUGUGCACUGAUCUGCCCUUCCCAGAGGUGGACUGUUUUGGGUUGUUUUUUUCCUUUGAGUACCUGCAAGAGCAAGCCAGCCCCUCCCCCGCCAUCCUAGAAUGAUGAAGGGUUUGUAAGAUUCCCUGCUGCAACACCCAGGGAUCUUGAGAUUCAGUGCUAGGGAAACCAG